rnacentral:rRNA from 1 species
GGAUAAUAUUUUGAACCGCAUGGUUCAAAAGUGAAAGACGGUCUUGCUGUCACUUAUAGAUGGAUCCGCGCUGCAUUAGCUAGUUGGUAAGGUAACGGCUUACCAAGGCAACGAUGCAUAGCCGACCUGAGAGGGUGAUCGGCCACACUGGAACUGAGACACGGUCCAGACUCCUACGGGAGGCAGCAGUAGGGAAUCUUCCGCAAUGGGCGAAAGCCUGACGGAGCAACGCCGCGUGAGUGAUGAAGGUCUUCGGAUCGUAAAACUCUGUUAUUAGGGAAGAACAUAUGUGUAAGUAACUGUGCACAUCUUGACGGUACCUAAUCAGAAAGCCACGGCUAACUACGUGCCA